AUACAUGGCCGACGCGGGUCAAAGUGUAGUAUUUGUUCUUAGCAGCUUAAUAUCUGAUACGGGUUUUAUUUGGACCCAAGAUAUUAAACUUAUUUUUGCAAGUUGGCGGAGUGCUUGAAGCCUGCUUCACCUCCAGCGCUGGUCAGUCUGCUGGUAUUCUAUUAUCUUCGGUAUUGACCAACCUUCU